rnacentral:lncRNA from 1 species
CCAGAGAGGGCACAUGUGCCUCAAUUGGCCUAGAGCAUAGCGGCUCAUUAUCCUUCCACCGCUGGUGGUGGGCGGUACUCGCUGCUCUGUGAAGCCAGCCUCACGCAAUGUCCGCCACUUUAGGUGUGUGGAUGCAAAAGCUUUUGCCAAGGCACCCUAAACCCACUACACAACUUGGAAUGGGUGGUCCACAGUUUGUAGCACUAGACCCAGGCACAUGCACCAUAAUUGAUAUCCACACUACCUUAUUGCCCCCGCUCGGGUUACAAGCAAUCGCUACUUGCUCAGCGAGUGAGGGGGUUCAGGACUACCUAUUUAAGGUGGUGUUGUACUCUAUGAGCCGGCGGUGCGGUAUUUACCAACUACAAAUAGUGUCAUGCAUGUGACUUGCUAGUUGACAAAGUAUGUUGUCGAGCUAGAUGUGGGCUAUGGAUGAAGCACAUUAGGAUAUAGUAGGCCUAUUUUGUUUUUUGUUGUUUUUGGGCCACUAUGGACUUUAUGUAGAUGUUGUGAAAUUUUUUCUUGUGUUUCGUCUUCCUACGACGUGGAAAGUGGGUGCGUCAGAGAAGAAAGAAAGAGUGGCUAGAAUUGAUUUUACGUCAUAUCAUUGAGAACACUAAUCAGAAGCAGAAGCAACAAUAUUUCAUACAUAUACAACACUUGUAAUCCAUAUAAACAAUUUUCCUUUAAAAUAUAAUAUAAACCACAUGAUUUAUAUCCUGGGUCGGCUAUCUCCACAAAGGGCAAGAAAAUGCUCCUAGGUUUGUAGUAUAGAACUAAGAGUAUCGACUCUCACGAUUUCUUCCCGACAUAUGCAAACUAGACAGUAAUCACAUAAAAUAAAGAAAUGUGUGUUAACACGAACUUAUCACAUGUAUUUCAACAUAUAGAUUGUUGAUUAUUAUGGUAGAUUAUAUAAUAUAGGGGUUCCCAAAGAAAUACAUAAAAAACAAGAGCAUUAAAAUUUCAUUUUCAGAUUUGGCUAACUGGUAAAGGGAGUUGGAGUAUCUGAGUUUCCAAAUUUGGGACGUCGCUCUAUAGAAGGAAUAUAAAUACAUUGGAAAAAAUUCUACAAGGAAAGGUUUAAUACAAGUAGGGCUAAGAAAAACUCAAUGAGGCUUUGGUCGCAUGGUCACAAGAGUUGAGACAAUAAACACGAAGACACUAAGGUAAUUAGUAUGAGAGUUUUCCAAAUUUGGUGUCUUGAUGUAGAAAAAAUAAAUAUAUGACAAACAUGUUUUUUUGCAAGGCAUGGUAAAAUAAGUGGGAGUGAGCAAUAAAUUUCAUCCUAGAUUUAGAAGGAAUAAAUAUAUCACUAAAUACAUUUUUUCACAAUGCCAAGUUAACCAGGCGGAACCGAGAAACAAUUCUAGCAAGGCUAGGUUGUACUAGCCCGAAACUACAUACAACAGAGGAAAAAUGAAGAAAAUGAUGGUAUACCAAAUAUGGCGCAUGAGCCUUAAGGUGCACCUAGAAGGAAGUAGAAGAAAUAAAUAUAUAAUAUGAUAUGUUUUUCGCAAUGCAAGGUAUUGUGUAGAUGUGCUCUAACUGGGCUUAGAUUGCAGCGAUACAUUAUGCAUCCACAAGGCUUGGUUGCACAUGGAAAAAGAUAGCGAGAGAAAUGUAGACGUAGGACCAGGAGAAAAACAUUCAAUGAGACGUGAUUGCAUGGACAUAGAACUAGAUAUAAGACAAGAGUUAAAGAAAAAUAAAGGAACUAAAUUUUCUUUUGCACAUUAAGCAUGAAUGGAGUUGUAGUAUCUAAGAUCAAAAAUUAAUUUAUUCCAAGAUGCAGAACAAAAUUGUGAUACUCGUAAUGGUUACAUAGGAACAAAAGUAGAUAAGAAAAAUAGCAAAAAGAUAGUGGUCUACCAGGGAGGGCACAUGUGCCUCAAUUGGCCUAUAGCAUAGUGGCUCAUUAUCCUUCCACCGCUGGUGGCGGGCGGUACUCGCUGCUCUGUGAAGCCAGCCUCACGCAAUGUCCGCCACUUUAGGUGUUAGGAUGCAAAGGCUUUACCCAAGGCACCCAAAACCCACUACAGAACUUGGAAUGGGUGGUCCACAGUUUGUAGCACUAGACCCAGGCACAUGCUCCUCAAUUGACAUCCACACUAGCUUAUUGCCCCGCUCGGGUUACAAGCAAUCACUACUUGCUCACGAGUGAGGGGGUUCAGGACUGCCUAUUUUAGGUGGUGUUGUACACUAUGAACCGACGGUGUGGUAUUUACCAACAAUAAAUAGUUUCAUGCAUGUGAGUUGCUAGUUGGCAAAGUCUAUUGUCAAGCUAGCUAUGGAAUAUGGCUAAUGGACAUGAGGGUAGAAUGGGCCUAUUCUGUAUUUUGUUGUUUUUGGGCCAUUAUGGACUUUAUGUUGAUGUUCUGAAAAACUUUCAUAUGUUUCCUCUUGCCUCUGAUGUGAAAGUGGGCGCGUCAGAGACGAAAGGAAGAGUGGCUAGCAGAGAUUUUACAUCAUCCCCUUGAGAACAAUAAUCAAAGCAGAAGCAAUAAUAUUUCAUACGUACACAACACUUGUAAUCCAUAUAAACAGCUUUCCUUCAAAAAAUAAUGUAAACCACAUGAUGUAUAUCUUGGACAGCUCAUCUCCAUAGAGGGCAAGGAAACGCUCCUAAGUUUGUAGUAUAGAACUGGGGGGUGUUUGGGAUGACUCUAGAUUCUAGCUCCUGCGUGGAGAUGUAGUUUAUAAUAUCUAUUUAAAUAGUUUUAAAAAUAUUUUUAGUCUAAAUAAUAAAUGAAAUAGCCUAUUUACAUGUCUUCUAAAGGCUUACAGCUCUAGCUCCAUGAUUUUCUGGAGCACCUAGCAUGAAUGGAGUUGUAGUAUCUGAGAUCCCAAAUUUAAUUUGUUUCAAGAUGCAGAAGAAAUUGCAACACUCGUAAUGGUUACAUAGGGACAAAAGUAGAUAAGAAAAAUAGCAAAAAGAUAGUGGUUUACCAGAGAGGGCACUUGUGCCCAAAUUGGCCUAGAGCAUAGCGACUCAUUAUCCUUCCACCGUUGGUGGCGGGCGGUACUCUCUGCUCUGUGAGGCCAGCCUCACGCAAUGUCCACCACUUUAGGUGUUGGGAUAUAAAGGCUUUCGCCAAGACACCCGAAACCCACUACACAACUUGGAAUGGGUGGUCCACAGUUUGUAGCACUAGACCCAGGCACACGCUCCACAAUUGACAUCCACACUACCUUAUUGCCCCCGCUCGGGUUACAAGCAAU